rnacentral:rRNA from 1 species
CGGCGGACGGGUGAGUAACGCGUGGGUAACCUGCCUCAUACAGGGGGAUAACAGUUGGAAACGGCUGCUAAUACCGCAUAAGCGCACAGUACCGCAUGGUACGGUGUGAAAAACUCCGGUGGUAUGAGAUGGACCCGCGUCUGAUUAGGUAGUUGGUGGGGUAACGGCCUACCAAGCCGACGAUCAGUAGCCGACCUGAGAGGGUGACCGGCCACACUGGGACUGAGACACGGCCCAG